rnacentral:tRNA from 1 species
GCGCCCAUAGCUCAGCUGGAUAGAGUACCUGGCUACGAACCAGUCGGUCGGAGGUUCGACUCCUUCUGGGCGCGCCA